CGUCUAUAUACGUAUAGCAUAUCAAUAAGCGGAGGAAAAGGAAACUAACUAGGAUUCCCUUAGUAACGGCGAGUGAAGCGGGAAGAGCUCAAAUUUGAAAUCUUCAAGGUUUUACCUUGACGAAUUGUAGUUUAAAGAAGUGUUUUCUGUUGGAAGUUUUCGGUAAAAGUUCUUUGGAAUAGGACAUCAUAGAGGGUGAGAAUCCCGUAUUUGACCAUUAUUUCAGCUUUGUGAUACACUUUCAAAGAGUCGGAUUGUUUGGGAAUGCAGUCCAAAAUGGGUGGUAAAUUUCAUCUAAAGCUAAAUAUUGGCGAGAGACCGAUAGCGAACAAGUACCGUGAGGGAAAGAUGAAAAGAACUUUGAAAAGAGAGUUAAACAGUACGUGAAAUUGUCAAAAGGGAAGCGUUUGACACCAGUGUUGUUUUUCUCGAAAAUCAAUUAAGAAGGCUGGAUUUUGUGUUAGUAUUGACUUUAUCAGGCUUCUGCUACUCUUUUCCUGUAACUUUUUAAUGCACUUUUCGGUUAACAAGUCAACAUCAAUUUCUUCUGUUGUAAAAGGGUCAUUCGGAAGGUGGCUUUCUUUUCGGAGAAAGUGUUAUAUAGCCCUUAUGCCUCUACAAUCGGAGAGAUUGAGGUCUGCAGCGUAGAUCCUUCGGGGUUAGAUACAUUUGUGCUAAGUUAUAGCCUUUCAUAGACAACUUGUUGACUAUGAUUCAGUCAUGUAGCUUACUCGCUGAUGCUAUUUUACCUACGCUUAGGAUGUUGACUGAUAUGUAGUCGU
rnacentral:rRNA from 1 species